GUGAAUCAUCAAAUCUUUGAACGCAAAUUGCACUCUCUGGUAUUCCGGAGAGUAUGCCUGUUUGAGGGUCAGUAUAAAUAAAAAUCGAGGUGUUGCUUAUGGUGACGCCAUCGGGAUUGGGUUAUCUUUAAUCUUAAUAAAGGUUUAAAUCGACCUAAAAUUGAUGAUAACUUUUGCAUCUCAAGAUGGACAGAAGAAUUUUUUUUUUAUUCGUGCGGAGUUUGCCCAAG
rnacentral:misc_RNA from 1 species